rnacentral:lncRNA from 1 species
GUUAUUUAUACGUUUUGCUAAAAUUUUUAAAUAUAUUACUAGAGUUUAAAAGGACCAAUGCUGAGGCUAUUACUGAUCGUUUUGAUAAUGAGUUGCCGAAAGAACGCGUAGUGCAUAUUUCCGGAUGGUUUACUUUAUUUAUAGUCCUCAGAAUCAUUCGAUGACCUUCAGGCAACAUGUAUUGAAAGUCCAAUGUUCCACAGUUGCCCAUUUACAGUCGAUAAAGACAUAGAUAUGGUGACUCAUAACCUUACUGCAGACAGACAAGCAAUAGAUGGUAUGCCUAGAGACGGACUUGCAUUAUUUAGAUCAAUGUUACCAGUGUGUGUUAUUGGAGAUGGAAAUUGCCUCCCUAGGUCUGCUAGUGUCGCCUGCUUUCGCAAUGCAACUGCCCACAAAGAAAUAAAAACGCGUAUCGUGGUGGAAAUGUGUUUGUUGAUAACGAAUACCUAAUUAAAGGUCUUGAUUUAACUCAAAAAGCUAAGAAUCUUGUAAAAACAUAUGCAAUGUUUUCAGAAGAA